rnacentral:rRNA from 1 species
GUAGCAUAAUCAUUUGACUUUUAAAUGGAAGCCUAGAAUGGAAAGAGAGCACGUAGACGACUUGUCUUAUUAGUAAUACUUUUAAUUUGCUGCAGGGAGUGAAAAUACUCUUGAACUAAACAAUAGACGAGAAGACCCUUAGAAUUUUUAAUAGGUAUAAGGCCAAUCUUAUAAAUUUUUUUGUUGGGGCAACAGUAUUUCAUAAAUGAAUAAAUAUAAACCUGAUGGGGAUUAACCGAUUUAAAUAAUUAUAGAGAAAUUACCUAAGGGAUAACAGCAUAAUUUUAAUAAUAAGCUUGUGACCUCGAUGUUGGACUAGGUACUAUUAAGGCUAAUCGUUUUAAUAUAAUUGGU